rnacentral:lncRNA from 10 species
AUCUUUGAGUACGUGACGUACAGAAGGCACAGCGGCCGGGAGACGCGGUGGACGGAGGCCUCUUAAACUGUCCGAUUUCCAGACACCUCAGCCCUGGCAGAAAAUGGAGAGCUUAUCAGAGGCUUGAGUUCACACAGGCAGACACGGCGUGGGGGUAAAGUCCUCUGAACAGACACGGAACAGAAAUAAGUUAGUCUUCUCCUCGCAGGGGACAGUGAACGGCGCAAACUUCUCAAAGGCCAGAACCCAUUAUUACCACAAAGGCGCGGCAUCCCUUCUUAGCGGUUAUGAUGGCUGUGACGUCUCAGCUCAAUGGAAAAUUAAAGUCACCUCUGGGCACCUCAGUCACUAUUGUAAAUGCGAAGCGUUUUAGAAGCCGUAUAAAAACUGAAGCAAGAGAGACUAGAACAAAAAAUAAGCGAGCGGUGCGUUGCAGGUAACGGAGCCAGAGCCCUUAGGGGAGAGCAUCAUGGGGGCGGCCAUCUUAGGGGACGUUCGGUGUCCGUACGGCAGAACAUAUUCUCUCUGAGAAGCUUGCGGUGGAACUGGCCCAUGGAAAUGUCUUUAGAAGAGAAGAACCACCUGGCUCUGUUCUUGACUCUGGAAAAGAAUCCUUUUCUAGAAUUAUUUAGGUUGUUGCCAGAUUAAUUUCCUUUAGAGAGUUUCCUUGCCCCCACGACUUCCUAUCUUUAAAGCCAACAAUAGUAUGUGAAAUCCCUUUCAUAUUUGAAACCACUGACUAUUGCUGCUGCAUCUCUCCGGUUUCUCCUAUUCUUAAGUGCUUGGGCAAUCCAGAAUAAUCUCCCAAUGCUAAAGUCAGCUGAUUAAUAAACUUAAUUACAAUGCAGAGUCCUUUUUGCCAUGUAACAUAACCAUGGGAAUUACUCUGGGGUUGUAGAUCUGGCUAUGAUAUGAUGACACUAAUGAAUAUUUUGCAAUAAAAACAUACUAUUUUAAAAUAUAUAUAUACAUAUAUCUUUAUAUAUGUAUAUUUCUACAGAAUUAUUACAAGUUAUGUCUUAUGAUGGUUUCUUAUAAGAAGCAAGGAGGAAAAGGUCCUUAACAUUUUCAAUUGUGUUUUUUUUAAUAAUAAAGCAUGCAUUCUAAUUUACAAAAACCACAAUAAAGGUACUUUCAUCAUGUCAGU